rnacentral:rRNA from 1 species
AAAAAGUUGGUGGUGAAAUCCCAGAGCUUAACUCUGGAACUGCCAUCAAAACUUUUCAGCUAGAGUUGAUAGAGGAAAGCAGAAUUUCUAGUGUAGAGGUGAAAUUCGUAGAUAUUAGAAAGAAUACCGAUUGCGAAGGCAGCUUUCUGGAUCAUUACUGACACUGAGGAACGAAAGCAUGGGUAGCGAAGAGGAUUAGAUACCCUCGUAGUCCAUGCCGUAAACGAUGUGUGUUAGACGUUGGAAAUUUAUUUUCAGUGUCGCAGCGAAAGCGAUAAACACACCGCCUGGGGAGUACGACCGCAAGGUUAAAACUCAAAUGAAUUGACGGGGACCCGCACAAGUAGUGGAGCAUGUGGUUUAAUUCGAAGAUACGCGCAGAACCUUACCAACACUUGACAUGUUCGUCGCGACUUUAAGAGAUUAAAGUUUUCGGUUCGGCCGGACGAAACACAGGUGCUGCAUGGCUGUCGUCAGCUCGUGUCGUGAGAUGUUGGGUUAAGUCCCGCAACGAGCGCAACCCUCACUUUUAGUUGCCAUCAUUAAGUUGGGCACUCUGAAAGAACUGCCAGUGAUAAGCUGGAGGAAGGUGGGGAUGACGUCAAGUCCUCAUGGCCCUUACGUGUUGGGCUACACACGUGCUACAAUGGUAUUUACAACAGGAAGCGAAACAGCGAUGUUAAGCAAAUCCUUAAAAGAUACCUCAGUUCGGAUUGCACUCUGCAACUCGAGUGCAUGAAGCUGGAAUUACUAGUAAUCGUGGAUCAGCGUGCCACGGUGAAUGCGUUCCCGGGUCUUGUACACACCGCCCGUCACACCAUGGGAGUUGGUUCUACCUUAAGGCAAGGCAUAAAACCCUUGACCACGGUAUAGUCAGCGACUGGGGUGAAGUCGUAACAAGGUAACCGUA